UGGGGAAUAUUGGACAAUGGGCGAAAGCCUGAUCCAGCCAUGCCGCGUGUGUGAAGAAGGCCUUUUGGUUGUAAAGCACUUUAAGCGAGGAGGAGGCUACUUGGAUUAAUACUCUAGGAUAGUGGACGUUACUCGCAGAAUAAGCACCGGCUAACUCUGUGCCAGCAGCCGCGGUAAUACAGAGGGUGCGAGCGUUAAUCGGAUUUACUGGGCGUAAAGCGUGCGUAGGCGGCUUUUUAAGUCGGAUGUGAAAUCCCUGAGCUUAACUUAGGAAUUGCAUUCGAUACUGGGAAGCUAGAGUAUGGGAGAGGAUGGUAGAAUUCCAGGUGUAGCGGUGAAAUGCGUAGAGAUCUGGAGGAAUACCGAUGGCGAAGGCAGCCAUCGGCCUAAUACUGACGCUGAGGUACGAAAGCAUGGGGAGCAAACAGG
rnacentral:rRNA from 1 species